CGUAAGGUGCCGAAUGAGUCAUUAAAAAAUUAACAUCAUCCGAUCCCUAGUCGGCAUAGUUUAUGGUUAAGACUACGACGGUAUCUGAUCGUCUUCGAUCCCCUAACUUUCGUUCUUGAUUAAUGAAAACAUCCUUGGCAAAUGCUUUCGCAGUAGUUAGUCUUCAAUAAAUCCAAGAAUUUCACCUCUGACAAUUGAAUACUAAUGCCCCCAACUAUCCCUAUUAAUCAUUACGUCGAUCCUAGUAAACCAACAAAAUAGGAUCAAACGUCCUAUUUCAUUAUUCCAUGCUAAUGUAUUCAAGCUAAUGCCUGCUUUAAACACUCUAAUUUUUUCAAGUAACAGUCCUAACUCCCCAUAACACCAAACUAAUGACAUCAUGGUUCGUCAGAAGAGAGAAACCAACGACGCCAGUACGUACCCGAAAGCACGACCAACGUAUUGAUCCCGAAAUUCAACUACGAGCUUUUUAACUGCAACAACUUUAAUAUACGCUAUUGGAGCUGGAAUUACCGCGGCU
rnacentral:rRNA from 1 species